rnacentral:rRNA from 1 species
GUAGUCCACGCCGUAAACGAUGAGCACUAGUUAUUGGGGGUAUUGACUCCCUCAGUGACGCAGCUAACGCAUUAAGUGCUCCGCCUGGGGAGUACGGUCGCAAGACUAAAACUCAAACAAAUUGACGGGGGCCCGCACAAGCGGUGGAUUAUGUGGUUUAAUUCGAAGCAACGCGCAGAACCUUACCUAGGCUUGAACUCCUACGAAUCCGGGGUAACUCCUGGAGUGUCCGCAAGGAAAUGUAGUGAGAGGUGCUGCAUGGCUGUCGUCAGCUCGUGUUGUGAAAUGUUGGGUUAAGUCUCGCAACGAGCGCAACCCCUAUCGUCUGUUGCCAGCAUUAAGUUGGGCAC